GGGACAUUCGUAUAACGGUAAGUAUCGCUGGCUUCCACCCAGUGGGUAAGGGUUCGAAACCCUUAUGUCCCUCCA
rnacentral:tRNA from 1 species